rnacentral:tRNA from 1 species
AAAACAAGAAACUUCUUGUAUUAUGGUUUCGGCCCAUAACUAGGUGCAGUGCACCCUUGUUUUG